AAGAACAUUGACAAUGACAAUUUUUUUCAAUGGUCAGGCAUUUCGUUUGCUUUCGUUGUCAAACAACAUUGUCUGGUGAUUGUCAAACAAUGUCUUCUGUUUGGAAUAAGUGUGUUUUCUUCUAAUUAUUGUUGGUGUUGUGUUUUAUGAUACAUAUAACUUUGGUGUAUAAGCUAACUUAUAUUCUUCCAAGUACUGGUAAUUAUGCAAUUUUUUUAACUAUGUUUUUUUAAACUUUCACCGGUGAUUUAACCUUUGUUAAUCAAUAUUGUAUUUUGGUGUCAUAUUGUUCUGUGAAAGUUGUGUUCUAACAAUGGGCUGAAACUAUAAUAUUUCGGUGUUGUAUCAAUGUUUGAUGUAAAUAAUGACAACGCAUUGCAAAGACAAAUAAAAACAUGUUUGAUGAUAAUUAUCCAUUCGAUUAUUACAUGCUUUAGUGAGUUUCUUGCCAAAUGAACCUCACUUUCUCUCUAGCAAAUCAACUCUGUUUCGAUUAAAAAAAAAUUUAAAUGAAAAAGGCUUGGGUUUUAUAUUCUGAUUCACUGUUGUGGAGCCAAAAAUAUUCACUAGGCGACACGUGGAUUUUUGGACAAAAUAGGACAAAAAUACCCUCGAGGCAUACCGGGUCUCCUACACGCGAGCAAUGGAGAAUCAUCCAUCAACCAAGUCAGGAGUACCCAAAAUGGUAACAAUUCAAAACCUAUUUCAUAUAUGUUUUUACCUCAUUUUUUCCUUAUUCAAUUAGCCAUUUAUUUCAAACAUUCCAUAACAUCCUCAACCAAUUAAUAUAAUCAAUAUAUUAAAGGCUAUUUACAUCACCAAAUCACCCCAAAAUCACACCAAGGUCCGGCCAUUCCCAUCCAAAAAAGGCCUAUCAUAUUCUCUACCUUUUCCACCAUUUUCCCUUUUUUAAUUACCCUAAUUAACUAGCCAAUUAAUUCCAAAAACCACCAAAACAUUCAUUUUAUGUUUAAAUAGCCAAAUAAAUUGGCUAAUUAAACCUAAAUUAAACCUAAAAACCCUAGCCACCUCCUAACUCUAUAAAUAGGCACCUAUUCUCAUCAAAAAAUCAAUUCCAACACUUUGGCAAAAAUCCCAAAAUUCUCUAAACACUCUUUCUCUCUAAAUUCUAACUUUGGCAUCGGAGGUUCUUCGGCCAAAGCCCCACCCAUUCAUCGUGGGCGCGUGAGGCUCUUGGCCUUAACCUAAGGUGUUAAUUGUUUUGUAGGUGCAAAAUCGUCCAAGAUCGAGGAGGAAGAAAUUUGCAUCCACAAAUUAGUGCUUUCAUUGAGAGUUGAAAUCCAUACUCGUAGAAGACUCUCGCACAAAAAGGUUUUUUAUUUAUUUUUUAGUCCAUUUGAAUAUUUUUCAUACGUUCUUAUUAUUAGAAUUUUUUACUUGCAAAGGUUCUUUAAUAAAACGUAUAAGCAAAAUAUAAUGGCUAGAAAUUUAGAAAAUUCCACAAAUGAAAAUUCUAAUAUACAAGAAAUGGGAUUGCGGAGAUCCAUGAGGCAAAAUGCGACAAUAAGGGGAGCGGCAUCACCACCACGAGUUUCCACCAUGGGAACCACCGCGGUGGCUACCUCGGUAGCCACCCACGGCGAGGUCCAUGGUGUCUUCACCACGGUCACCAUGGGAACCACCGCAGUGGCUACUUCGGUAGCCAUUCGUGGUGAGGUCCAUGAAGCUUUCACCACGGCCCGAGCCGUGCCAUCCAAGGCUCACGGUACCAAGACCACGACCCAAGCCGUGCCAUCCAAGUUUACGUGGACCCAAGCCCAAGCCUCGCAUUCACAUGCACCGCGCAUUGAGCAGCCUGCUUUCGUUGAACAGCCCACUCCCGUGGCCCAGCCUGCUCUCGUGACCCAGCCUGCUCCCGACGAGCAGCCCACUCCCGUUGUCCAGCCUGCUCCCGACGAGCAGCCCACUCUCGUGGUCCAACCUGCUUCCGUCGAGCAGCCCAAUCCCAUGGCCCAGCUUGCUCCCGCCAAGCAACUUGCUCUCGCGGCCCAGCCUGCUCCUGCCAAGCAGCUUGCUCUCGUGACCCAGCCUGUUCCCGACGAGCAGCCCACUCCCGUGGUCCAGCCUGCUUCNGUACUGGUAAUUAUGCAAUUUUUAAACUAGUUUUUUUUAAACUUUCACCGGGAUUUAACCUUUGUUAAUCAAUAUUGUUAUUUUGGUGUCAUUUUGUUCUGUGAAAGUUGUGUCUAACAAUGGGCUGAAACUAUAAUAUUUCGUGUAUCAAUGUUGAUGUAAAAAUGACAACGCAUUGCAAAGACAAAUAUAAAACAUGUUUGAUGAUAAUUAUCCAUUCGAUUAUUACAUGCUUUAGUGAGUUUCUUGCCAAAUGAACCUCACUUUCUCUC
rnacentral:lncRNA from 1 species